rnacentral:rRNA from 1 species
GAUGAACGCUGGCGGCGUGCCUAAUACAUGCAAGUCGAGCGAACGGACGAGAAGCUUGCUUCUCUGAUGUUAGCGGCGGACGGGUGAGUAACACGUGGAUAACCUACCUAUCAGACUGGGAUAACUUCGGGAAACCGGAGCUAAUACCGGAUAAUAUUUUGAACCGCAUGGUUCAAAAGUGAAAGACGGUCUUGCUGUCACUUAUAGAUGGAUCCGCGCUGCAUUAGCUAGUUGGUAAGGUAACGGCUUACCAAGGCAACGAUGCAUAGCCGACCUGAGAGGGGGAUCGGCCACACUGGAACUGAGACACGGUCCAGACUCCUACGGGAGGCAGCAGUCGGGAAUCGUCCGCAAUGGGCGAAAGCCUGACGGAGCAACGCCGCGUGAGUGAUGAAGGUCUUCGGAUCGUAAAACUCUGUUAUUAGGGAAGAACAUAUGUGUAAGUAACUGUGCACAUCUUGACGGUACCUAAUCAGAAAGCCACGGCUAACUACGUG